CUGAAAGGAACCGAGCGGCGCGGCUUCGGUAGGUGUGGCUGGAAGGAGGCGCGGCGAGGCCUCUGCCCGCCUCCCUCGAGUUUCUCAGCGAAGAUCCCCGCAGGGCUGGACGCGCGCGUGGGUGAAGCAAAGAAUGAAAAAUGAAAAUCAGUACCAAGGACAGCACCAAAAAAUCCGGAAGGUGACACAGUGUUUCCUACAAAGACUCAAUUAAUCACUAAACACGCAGCCAGCAGUGGAGAAGAGCACUGCCAUAUCCUGCAAGACAUCCGUUAAGAUUUGCUGAAGCAUUAUGAAAAACAAAGAUGACAAGUGACUCACAGCUGUUUGCCCCAGUAACUAUAAAUCAAAAAGAUGCAAUUGGCUUGGCUUAACACAAGUGUUUGGAACAACAGAAGUACUGACUGCUGAGCCUAAGUCUCCCUAAAUUGUGUGUAUAUAUUUAUUACCUAGCCCUUGAGAAAAAAAGAAGCAGUGCCUGACUCAUUCUUUAGAACAGUAUGGUGUUUUUUUAAAAAAUCAGCUGCAUUUUCUUCAUAACUCUGAUGAGUUCAGGAAGUCCCUGUAGGAGAAGAAGUAGCAGAACUUGGAGAUGGAGUCAAAAGAGAAAUCAGCCUGGAGUCCCUAUGUAUCCACAAACAGACUAAGCACAACUCUUCUUAAAUUCUGUUGACUCUUAUCUGACACCAAGUGUCAGCAACUACACCAAGGUAGUACUAACCAUUGGUUGAGUCUUGGCAUAGGCAUGAUUAGUAAAUAAAUCCAUUUAAUUGGAAUUUCACAUGUGAUCCUGAUGUUUUUACAUCUAACAGUCCCUGAUUUUAUCUAUUAUAGGUAAGCAAUUUGUUGUUGUUAAUCAUUAUUUUGAAUAAUUAUGAAAAUACUAGCCUUCUU